rnacentral:rRNA from 1 species
GCCCCGGUAACGGGGAGGAAGGAGGGGAUGAUGUCAGGUCAGUAUUUCCCUUACACCCUGGGCUAGAAUCGCGCUACAAUGGCCGGUACAAUGCGAAGCGAAGCAGUGAUGUGAAGCAAAUCGCACCAAAGCCGGUCCCAGUUCGGACUGGAGGCUGAAACUCGCCUCCACGAAGUCGGAAUCGCUAGUAAUCGCAGAUCAGCAUGUUGCGGUGAAUACGGUCCCGGGUCUUGUACACACCGCCCGUCAAACCAUGAGAGUCACCAACACCCGAAGUCCGUUUCGGCGGCCUAAGGUGGGGGAGAUGAUUGGGGUUAAGUCGUAACAAGGCAUCGGUACGAGAACGUGUCGAUGGAUUACCUCCUUU